AAUGAGUAUAAGGAUCCUGCAGUAGGCAUUGCAGACCAGUCUGAAGCUUCUUGUGUUCAGGAGCUUUAAUUAGCUUCAGUGGUUGGGAAUAUGCAGGGCAAAAGGUUAAGGCAGAAAAUCAGGCUAAUUACAGGCUGGAGGUCCCAGGAGUUCAGAUCAAGUGAUCUUCCCUGGUCCUAAUCUCUGAGAUGGAAGCAGUUAAUACUACGCUCUCUGUGAGUGCCGCAGGGCUGCUGGCUUUCCAGCCACUCACGAUGAAUUCACCCAGGCUUUUCUGCCCGCGGGGCAGAUUACUGCCACAGACCCGGGUGAGCUGAGUCACAAAUUACAAUUCCCCCUCAGUGCCUUUAGGCUGUGAGAGUUGUAGAUCUGAGGCUUCCUCCAGAGCACCACAGAUCUGCAAUCUAUAAAAUCAGGGGCUCUACAGGCUCCUAUACUGUACCCCAUCUUCUCUCUAAGCAAUUUCCUUUGUAAUAGCUUCUUCCCAUGUGAAAGAUCUCCUGUACCUUUCCCCCCUCUCUGGCUGUUGUUUGUAGCAGGCUGUAUCAUCAGCAUACUGCUAUUUCUAGUAUUAUGUAAAUUAGUGCCCAAAAUAUUGGAAUUAAUGUGUCAUGGGUGAAGUUGCACUAAAGCAAGCAGCUGCAGCACCAAAACAUCCAACUGUCAUAAACCAUCCCCCAAAUCUAUAAAACAAUUAGGUUUAAACAGUGUCUAGAGGGAAGAUUCAAUGUGAGAGGCAUGACUUGUAGUUUUCCGGGAAUUUGAUCAGUUUGUUUCCAGAAUUUUUCUCAGAGAUUCGUAAACUCCUAUGUGGGAGAGGUUAUUUUGUUUAGAGGUACACCUGUGGGUAUAAUGAAAGUGACCCACCACGUUGGAAUAGAGGACAUUUGUAUCGUCACGUGCCUCAACAGUAUGAGCUGGUCUGGGGAAGCAGUCAGCCCUGCCCUUCAAACUGCGAUUGCAUCCAUGUGUGCUGCACAGGUUUUUUGUUCACUGGGUGAUCUUGAACUGGCCUUGCUAAAAGCUUCCCUGACAUUUCCAAAGGAGAUAAAUCUACCUAAAACCCUGGGAAGCAGAAGUGCUCCUCUGUUUGAAGGCAGUGAAUGA
rnacentral:lncRNA from 1 species